AGUGAACGCUGGCGGUAGGCCUAACACAUGCAAGUCGAACGGCAGCACAGUAAGGGCUUGCUCUUACGGGUGGCGAGUGGCGGACGGGUGAGGAAUACAUCGGAAUCUACUUUUUCGUGGGGGAUAACGUAGGGAAACUUACGCUAAUACCGCAUACGACCUACGGGUGAAAUCAGGGGAUCUUCGGACCUUGCGCGAUUGAAUGAGCCGAUGUCGGAUUAGCUAGUUGGCGGGGUAAAGGCCCACCAAGGCGACGAUCCGUAGCUGGUCUGAGAGGAUGAUCAGCCACACUGGAACUGAGACACGGUCCAGACUCCUACGGGAGGCAGCAGUGGGGAAUAUUGGACAAUGGGCGCAAGCCUGAUCCAGCAAUACCGCGUGGGUGAAGAAGGCCUUCGGGUUGUAAAGCCCUUUUGUUGGGAAAGAAAAGAAGCAGGUUAAUACCCCGAUGUUCUGACGGUACCCAAAGAAUAAGCACCGGCUAACUUCGUG
rnacentral:rRNA from 1 species